CAAUAGCGUAUAUUUAAGUUGCUGCAGUUAAAAAGCUCGUAGUUGGAUUUCGGGUGGGAAUGGCCGGUCCGCCGUUUCGGUGUGCACUUGCUACGCCCACCUUGCUGCCGGGGACGUGCUCUUGAGUUCACGCUCGGGACACGGAGUCGGCGAGGUUACUUUGAGUAAAUUAGAGUGUUCAAAGCAGGCCUACGCUCUGAAGACAUUAGCAUGGAAUAACACGAUAGGACUCUGGCCUAUCUUGUUGGUCUGUAGGACCGGAGUAAUGAUUAAGAGGGACAGUCGGGGGCAUUCGUAUUUCAUUGUCAGAGGUGAAAUUCUUGGAUUUAUGAAAGACGAACUACUGCGAAAGCAUUUGCCAAGGAUGUUUUCAUUAA
rnacentral:rRNA from 1 species